AUCGCUUCUCGGCCUUUUGGCUAAGAUCAAGUGUAGAAUUAGGACUGGAGGCACAAGUUUAUUACAUUAUAUUUUUUUAGUGGAAAAUGUUUUCUAACAUAACUUAGUAUGAUAAAUAUAUUAAGUCAAGUAAAUCAG
rnacentral:snRNA from 1 species